rnacentral:RNase_P_RNA from 1 species
AAGCAGGUCAAGAUGGCCGCCCCGGUGCCGCAGGCAUUGGGGAGGAAAGUCCGAGCUCCAAAGGACAAUGCAUCCCGUAACGCGGGACCGUCCGUCUGAAUUAUGGGGACAUGUACCUAAUUGAUCAAAACUAACGAAUUAGGUACGUGUCCCCAUAAUUCAGGCGUAUGAGGAUCAGAGCUACAGUGACGAUGCCUUCGCCGAUGGUGGGGGAGUGAAACGCGCAAUCUCUGCAUGGAGCAAAGCCAAAUAGGGGGAGAGGGCUGGUCCGGUCCGUUACCAUCCUCGGGUAGGCCGCAAGAUGCUCUGUCUGAAAAGCGGAGUGUUAGUCGAAUGGCCAUCCCCUGAACCGGCCACGAAGUGUUUGGUCUGGUUCAGGGAACAGAACUCGGCUUAUUUGACCUGCUAUAAA